rnacentral:ncRNA from 1 species
UCGGAGAAUGCCGAAAAGCCGGAUAAGAGUAGGCA